rnacentral:rRNA from 1 species
AGGUGCUUGCACCUUUCAAGCGAGUGGCGAACGGGUGAGUAACACGUGGAUAACCUGCCUCAAGGCUGGGGAUAACAUUUGGAAACAGAUGCUAAUACCGAAUAAAACUUAGUAUCGCAUGAUAUAAAGUUAAAAGGCGCUACGGCGUCACCUAGAGAUGGAUCCGCGGUGCAUUAGUUAGUUGGUGGGGUAAAGGCUUACCAAGACAAUGAUGCAUAGCCGAGUUGAGAGACUGAUCGGCCACAUUGGGACUGAGACACGGCCCAAACUCCUACGGGAGGCUGCAGUAGGGAAUCUUCCACAAUGGGCGCAAGCCUGAUGGAGCAACGCCGCGUGUGUGAUGAAGGCUUUCGGGUCGUAAAGCACUGUUGUAUGGGAAGAAAUGCUAAAAUAGGGAAUGAUUUUAGUUUGACGGUACCAUACCAGAAAGGGACGGCUAAAUACGUGCCAGCAGCCGCGGUAAUACGUAUGUCCCGAGCGUUAUCCGGAUUUAUUGGGCGUAAAGCGAGCGCAGACGGUUGAUUAAGUCUGAUGUGAAAGCCCGGAGCUCAACUCCGGAAUGGCAUUGGAAACUGGUUAACUUGAGUGUUGUAGAGGUAAGUGGAACUCCAUGUGUAGCGGUGGAAUGCGUAGAUAUAUGGAAGAACACCAGUGGCGAAGGCGGCUUACUGGACAACAACUGACGUUGAGGCUCGAAAGUGUGGGUAGCAAACAGGAUUAGAUACCCUGGUAGUCCACACCGUAAACGAUGAAUACUAGGUGUUAGGAGGUUUCCGCCUCUUAGUGCCGAAGCUAACGCAUUAAGUAUUCCGCCUGGGGAGUACGACCGCAAGGUUGAAACUCAAAGGAAUUGACGGGGACCCGCACAAGCGGUGGAGCAUGUGGUUUAAUUCGAAGCAACGCGAAGAACCUUACCAGGUCUUGACAUCCUUUGAAGCUUUUAGAGAUAGAAGUGUUCUCUUCGGAGACAAAGUGACAGGUGGUGCAUGGUCGUCGUCAGCUCGUGUCGUGAGAUGUUGGGUUAAGUCCCGCAACGAGCGCAACCCUUAUUGUUAGUUGCCAGCAUUCAGUUGGGCACUCUAGCGAGACUGCCGGUGACAAACCGGAGGAAGGCGGGGACGACGUCAGAUCAUCAUGCCCCUUAUGACCUGGGCUACACACGUGCUACAAUGGCGUAUACAACGAGUUGCCAACCUGCGAAGGUGAGCUAAUCUCUUAAAGUACGUCUCAGUUCGGACUGCAGUCUGCAACUCGACUGCACGAAGUCGGAAUCGCUAGUAAUCGCGGAUCAGCACGCCGCGGUGAAUACGUUCCCGGGUCUUGUACACACCGCCCGUCACACCAUGGGAGUUUGUAAUGCCCAAAGCCGGUGGCCUAACCUUCGGGAGGGAGCCGUCUAAGCAGACAGAGGG